rnacentral:rRNA from 1 species
UGCAGUCGAGCGGAGAGAGGUAGCUUGCUACUGAUCUUAGCGGCGGACGGGGGAGUAAUGCUUAGGAAUCUGCCUAUUAGUGGGGGACAACAUUUCGAAAGGAAUGCUAAUACCGCAUACGUCCUACGGGAGAAAGCAGGGGAUCUUCGGACCUUGCGCUAAUAGAUGAGCCUAAGUCGGAUUAGCUAGUUGGGGGGGGAAAGGCCUACCAAGGCGACGAUCUGUAGCGGGUCUGAGAGGAUGAUCCGCCACACUGGGACUGAGACACGGCCCAGACUCCUACGGGAGGCAGCAGUGGGGAAUAUUGGACAAUGGGCGCAAGCCUGAUCCAGCCAUGCCGCGUGUGUGAAGAAGGCCUUAUGGUUGUAAAGCACUUUAAGCGAGGAGGAGGCUACUUUAGUUAAUACCUAGAGAUAGUGGACGUUACUCGCAGAAUAAGCACCGGCUAACUCUGUGCCAGCAGCCGCGGUAAUACAGAGGGUGCAAGCGUUAAUCGGAUUUACUGGGCGUAAAGCGCGCGUAGGCGGCUAAUUAAGUCAAAUGUGAAAUCCCCGAGCUUAACUUGGGAAUUGCAUUCGAUACUGGUUAGCUAGAGUGUGGGAGAGGAUGGUAGAAUUCCAGGUGUAGCGGUGAAAUGCGUAGAGAUCUGGAGGAAUACCGAUGGCGAAGGCAGCCAUCUGGCCUAACACUGACGCUGAGGUGCGAAAGC